rnacentral:rRNA from 1 species
GGUUAAGCGACUAAGCGUACACGGUGGAUGCCCUGGCAGUCAGAGGCGAUGAAGGGCGUGCUAAUCUGCGAUAAGCGCCGGUAAGGUGAUAUGAACCGUUAUAACCGGCGAUACCCGAAUGGGGAAACCCAGUGUGAUUCGUCACACUAUCAUUACGUGAAUACAUAGCGUAAUGAAGCGAACCGGGGGAACUGAAACAUCUAAGUACCCCGAGGAAAAGAAAUCAACCGAGAUUCCCCCAGUAGCGGCGAGCGAACGGGGAGGAGCCCAGAGCCUGAAUCAGCAUGUGUGUUAGUGGAAGCGUCUGGAAAGGCGCGCGAUACAGGGUGACAGCCCCGUACACAAAAGCGCAUGUGUUGUGAGCUCGAUGAGUAGGGCGGGACACGUGGUAUCCUGUCUGAAUAUGGGGGGACCAUCCUCCAAGGCUAAAUACUCCUGACUGACCGAUAGUGAACCAGUACCGUGAGGGAAAGGCGAAAAGAACCCCGGCGAGGGGAGUGAAAAAGAACCUGAAACCGUGUACGUACAAGCAGUGGGAGCACCCUUUGGGGUGUGACUGCGUACCUUUUGUAUAAUGGGUCAGCGACUUAUAUUCUGUAGCAAGGUUAACCGAAUAGGGGAGCCGGAGGGAAACCGAGUCUUAAUUGGGCGUUAAGUUGCAGGGUAUAGACCCGAAACCCGGUGAUCUAGCCAUGGGCAGGUUGAAGGUUGGGUAACACUAACUGGAGGACCGAACCGACUAAUGUUGAAAAAUUAGCGGAUGACCUGUGGCUGGGGGUGAAAGGCCAAUCAAACCGGGAGAUAGCUGGUUCUCCCCGAAAGCUAUUUAGGUAGCGCCUCGUGAACUCAUCUCCGGGGGUAGAGCACUGUUUCGGCUAGGGGGCCAUCCCGGCUUACCAACCCGAUGCAAACUGCGAAUACCGGAGAAUGUUAUCACGGGAGACACACGGCGGGUGCUAACGUCCGUCGUGAAGAGGGAAACAACCCAGACCGCCAGCUAAGGUCCCAAAGUCAUAGUUAAGUGGGAAACGAUGUGGGAAGGCCCAGACAGCCAGGAUGUUGGCUUAGAAGCAGCCAUCAUUUAAAGAAAGCGUAAUAGCUCACUGGUCGAGUCGGCCUGCGCGGAAGAUGUAACGGGGCUAAACUAUGCACCGAAGCUGCGGCAGCGA